rnacentral:rRNA from 1 species
UACGUAGGCAGCAAGCGUUGUUCGGAAUUACUGGGCGUAAAGCGAGUGUAGGCGGUUUGCCAAGUCCGUUGUGAAAUCUCCCGGCUCAACUGGGAGGGUGCGCCGGAAACUGGCAGGCUAGGGUGCGGUAUGGGAGAGUGGAAUUCCUGGUGUAGCGGUGAAAUGCGUAGAUAUCAGGAGGAACACCGGUGGUGAAGACGGCUCUCUGGACCGUUACCGACGC